UACAGAGGUCUCAAGCGUUGUUCGGAUUCAUUGGGCGUAAAGGGUGCGUAGGCGGCGCGGUAAGUCGGAUGUGAAAUCUCGGAGCUUAACUCCGAAACUGCAUUCGAUACUGCCGUGCUUGAGGACUGGAGAGGAGACUGGAAUUUACGGUGUAGCGGUGAAAUGCGUAGAUAUCGUAAGGAAGACCGUGGCGAAGGCGGGUCUCUGGACA
rnacentral:rRNA from 1 species